rnacentral:rRNA from 1 species
GACGAACGCUGGCGGCAGGCUUAACACAUGCAAGUCGAACGCAUCCUUCGGGGUGAGUGGCAGACGGGUGAGUAACGCGUGGGAACGUGCCCUUCAGUUCGGGAUAACCCAGGGAAACUUGGGCUAAUACCGGAUACGUGCGAGAGCAGAAAGAUUUAUCGCUGAAGGAUCGGCCCGCGUCUGAUUAGCUAGUUGGUGGGGUAAUGGCCCACCAAGGCGACGAUCAGUAGCUGGUCUGAGAGGAUGAUCAGCCACAUUGGGACUGAGACACGGCCCAAACUCCUACGGGAGGCAGCAGUGGGGAAUAUUGGACAAUGGGCGCAAGCCUGAUCCAGCCAGGCCGCGUGGAUGAUGAAGGCCCUAGGGUUGUAAAGUCCUUUCGGCGGGGAAGAUAAUGACGGAACCCGCAGAAGAAGCCCCGGCUAACUUCGUGCCAGCAGCCGCCGUAA